rnacentral:rRNA from 1 species
GGAGGUUACUGCUAUCGGUGUUCGCCUAACCCAUGCAAGUCAUAUGUUCUUCGUGAACAUGGCGUACUGCUCAGUAACACGUGAAUAACCUGCCCUUGGGACCGGCAUAACCCCGGGAAACUGGGGAUAAUUCCGGAUACCGCAUAUAUGCUGGAAUGCUUUAUGCGUGAAAUGGAUUCGUCUGCCCAAGGAUGGGUCUGCGGCCUAUCAGGUAGUAGUGGGUGUAAUGUACCUACUACCCUACAACGGGUACGGGUUGUGAAAGCAAGACCCCGGAAAUGGAUUCUGAAACAUGAAUCCAGGCCCUACGGGGCGCACCAC